UUCCCGGUAGCUCAAUGGCGGAGCAGGCGGCUGUUAACCGCAAGGAUGAGGGUUCGAGUCCCUCCUGGGAAGC
rnacentral:tRNA from 1 species